rnacentral:pre_miRNA from 1 species
GAGACACCCUUAUGGGGCAGGACUUGCUUCAGUGGGGCUUUGGUGCUCACUGAGUCUGCCCCCUUGAGUGUGUCGCU